rnacentral:rRNA from 1 species
UACGUAGGCAGCAAGCGUUGUUCGGAAUUACUGGGCGUAAAGAGUGUGUAGGCGGUGCUCUAAGUCUGUUGUGAAAUCUCCCGGCUUAACCGGGAGGGUGCGGCGGAAACUGGAGUGCUUGAGGGUGGGAGAGGUAAGCGGAAUUCCGGGUGUAGCGGUGGAAUGCGUAGAGAUCCGGAAGAACACCGGUGGCGAAGGCGGCCUGCUGGGGUCUGGCUGACGCUGAGGCGCGACAGCGUGGGGAGCAAACAGG